AAAUUUUGUGGGGUUGAAUUAUUAUAGUCGUAAUACUUCAAAGGUUGGCAGAAAAGAAAAAUAGAAAAAGAAAAAGAAAAAAGAAAAGAAAAGAAGGAUGUCAAUACAUAUUCCUUCUAAAAAUGAAAAAAUGAGAAAAGAAAAGAGAAGUAACUGCAAUGUUGUUGUGUGAAAAUGAAUGAAGUUUUUAUUAAUUCAACUCCCACAGUUUCUUUCAAUUUUCUUUUGAUAUUUUGAAUUUUAACCUUUACCCCUUAGGAUUUACCUCACCCUUACCUUGACCAAAUUACAACCCGAAUAAAAGUCCUUUUGAUCUUUGUGUGCAUGUAUUUCAUCAAGUGUGGAUGUUAGAGUCUUUUUAAGUUUAUGGUAGUACUAAUUUUCAUGAUAUGUUUUAAGUGUAAAAAGUCAACCUAAACACUUGAG
rnacentral:lncRNA from 1 species